rnacentral:rRNA from 1 species
AGAGUUUGAUCCUGGCUCAGGAUGAACGCUAGCGGCAGGCUUAAUACAUGCAAGUCGAGGGGCAGCAGGGGUAGCAAUACUCGCUGGCGACCGGCAAACGGGUGCGGAACACGUACAGAACCUUCCUUUAAGCGGGGGAUAGCCCAUAGAAAUGUGGAUUAAUACCCCAUAGUAAUGUUUGGUGGCAUCAUUAGACAUUUAAAGAUUUAUCACUUAAAGAUGGCUGUGCGGCUGAUUAGGUAGUUGGUUGGGGUAACGGCCCACCAAGCCAGCGAUCAGUAACUGGUGUGAGAGCACGACCAGUCACACGGGCACUGAGACACGGGCCCGACUCCUACGGGAGGCAGCAGUAAGGAAUAUUGGUCAAUGGACGCAAGUCUGAACCAGCCAUGCCGCGUGAAGGAUGAAGGCCCUCUGGGUUGUAAACUUCUUUUAUCUGGGACGAAACCCUCGCUUUCUAGCGGGAUUGACGGUACCAGAGGAAUAAGCACCGGCUAACUCCGUGCCAGCAGCCGCGGUAAUACG